CGGGGAUCAAACUCAGGUCCUUGCGCUUGCAAGGCAGGUGACAGAACCUCUGAGCUAAAUCCCCGGCCCCAUCAUCCCCCUCCUUUUGAGACAGGGUCUCACUGUAUAGUUCAGGCUGGCCUUGAACUCAUUAUGGAGCCCUGGCUGCCUCGAACUCAUGGCAAUCCUCUUGCCUCAGCCUCCUGAGUACAGCCUCCCAGAGUGCUGGGAUGACAGGUGAGCCCCACCACCUGGCUAAUUCACGACUUCUUGCUGAGGCCCACCUGCCUUCCCCACCUGCACACCCUGGGGCCCAGCUCCCCGUUUUCCCAGCCAGGGGACUUGGACCCACUUCACGGAGCAUGGGAACCUCUGGUCUACAGCAGAACUCCUGUGAAACCGUAGGUUUGCUGUGUGGUCUACACCGCUGGCUGUGAGUCCAACAUCCAUGCUCCCCUCUGGCUUUACUAAUAAAACCUAAUUCUGUUCAGAACAGAACAGUGGCACCGGUCUACACUCUGUUUUCUUGCUUCCUCUGCAAGCAGGGGCCGCCCCCCAACACAGCUCUGGCCAGUAAGACAUUAGCGGGUGUCAACAGGUAGGGAUAGGGAGGCAGAAGUCAGCACUUUGCCUGUGCUCUUUCCCUUCUCUCUGCCUGGAACACAG
rnacentral:lncRNA from 1 species